GCAAAUUUCCUUCCCCAAGCAGCUUGGGACCUGCACUAUUCCUCUAUCUGAAAUUGCACUUCUCCUCAUAUUUUUCCUGGGAAGUGCUAUCUGAUUUUAAAGACUUGGCUCAUUCUAUAUCAUUUCCAUGAAAAAUUCCCAACUCCUGUAAUCUGAAUUCAUCUCUCCCACUUGUAGUUUGCAGAAACUGUUUCUACCCCUGUUUUGAAGCACAUAUCUUGGUCUACCUUUGGUUAUAGGGUGCUGAGAUGGUCCAGAGCCUACUCUGGAAUCAGCUUUUCUGGCUUCGAAUCCCAUUUUAACCUCACUGCUUCUUUGGGCAAGAUUCUUUAUAUUCCUGGGCCUUGGUUUCCUUUUCUAUGAAAAGACACAAUAAUAAAACCUACUCAUGUGUUUGUUGAAAGGAUUAAAUGAAAUCAUAUAUUUGAAGUGCAUACAGUAAACAUCAAAGAGUGUAAUCUAAUGUUAACUUUCUUCAUAGUUUGUGAGUUGUUGGGGGAAAAAAGCUUUGCAUUACUGAUAAUUAUAAUAGUAAAUUGCAUGAAGUAAUAAUGUAAUGAAUAGCAUUUUAAUUUGGAACAAGUUUUCUAAUGAGUCCUCUUCUGGGUUUGGAAAAAUCAAAAGUAUUUUGGAUAAACUUGCAAAAGAGGAAAUGACAGACUGGUUAGAACAAAAAUUAUUAAGAAAAAAUGAAAUUACUUCAAAAGAUACAUAUCUUCACACUGCUUUCUUUUGUUCAGAGGCAGCUGCAUUUACUCUUUUCUGUUUGGAAGCAUACUUUUAAGGCAUUCUUCCUAGAGUUUGAAGGAAAGAAAGAAAGAAAGAAAAAAAAACUAGCCUUUUCCUAAUUUUCAGUCACAGAAGAAGCUGAAUCUGAGCUCCAUUGUUUCCUGUCUCCUGCUGGGCAUAGGAGCAUUCAUGUAAAUAGAAUUCCUUUGACACCACAG
rnacentral:lncRNA from 1 species